rnacentral:rRNA from 1 species
ACAGCAGCCGCCGCGGUAAUACGAAGGGGGCUAGCGUUGUUCGGAUUUACUGGGCGUAAAUGGCGCGUAGGCGGACUGAUAAGUCAGGGGUGAAAUCCCAAGGCUCAACCUUGGAACUGCCUUUGAUACUGUUUGUCUUGAGUUCGAGAGAGGUAAGUGGAACUGCGAGUGUAGAGGUGAAAUUCGUAGAUAUUGGGAAGAGCACCGGUGGCGAAGGCGGCAACCUGGUCCGAGACUGACGCUGAGGCGCGAAAGCGUGGGGAGCAAACAGGAUUAGAUACCCGUGUAGUCCCUGUCUCUUAUAC